CCUACGGGGGGCUGCAGUGAGGAAUAUUGGUCAAUGGACGAGAGUCUGAACCAGCCAAGUAGCGUGAAGGAUGACUGCCCUAUGGGUUGUAAACUUCUUUUAUAUGGGAAUAAAACGUUCCACGUGUGGGAUUUUGUAUGUACCAUAUGAAUAAGGAUCGGCAAACUCCGUGCCAGCAGCCGCGGUAAUACGGAGGAUCCGAGCGUUAUCCGGAUUUAUUGGGUUUAAAGGGAGCGUAGGUGGAUUGUUAAGUCAGUUGUGAAAGUUUGCGGCUCAACCGUAAAAUUGCAGUUGAAACGGGCAGUCUUGAGUACAGUAGAGGUGGGCGGAAUUCGUGGUGUAGCGGUGAAAUGCUUAGAUAUCACGAAGAACUCCGAUUGCGAAGGCAGUUCACUGGACUGCAACUGACACUGAGGCUCGAAAGUGUGGGUAUCAAACAGGAUUAGAUACCCAGUAGUC
rnacentral:rRNA from 1 species